GUCGCCGAUGGACAAGGAGUUCGUCCUCGGCUGGUACCCGCCGCCCGCGACGCCGCGGCCGCCCGCGCUGGUGCCGUACCGGUCGGCGGCGC
rnacentral:tRNA from 1 species